ensembl:lncRNA
UUUUAUUUUUUAUAUUUUUAAGAAAAUGACUGAUCGUUUCAUUAUAUAAGUUGCGACUGAUUAAUUCUUUACGACUGAAGAAAGGGAGACAUGAACAUCUUGGAUGACGCUGAAAGCACACCCACAAGGAAUGCAAGCAUCUCUCUCAGAAUUAUGAUGGACUAUCUUCCUGAGUAUGAAAAUAUGGACUCUCCAGAAUCAAACAAACUUAUUUCCAUCUUAAAUCGUGAGAUUUCAAUCCUUUGUAAAAGGGCAGAUGCACAAAAUUUCAAAAAUGUGCACAUACAUAGGCUUAUGCAAGGAAGUGUCGUUGCUGAAAGUACUGCAGUAUAUAACUAUCCCAACAACAACUCGCAAAUAAUGUUUCUAAAUAAUGAUUUGGGACCCACCCUGGAAAAAAUCUUUAACGACUCAGAUUCAUUUAAAAAUCUCAGUAUAGAUCUCGGUAAUGUUGCCAUCCAAAGUGACCAAAUUACCAUGGAGCCAGUUAAAAUAUCAAACAUUUCAGAUCUGCAGUCAUUUGUGCAAUGCACAGUGAAUUUUGCAAACUUAACAGUAGAGAUUGAAGAUGGAGCAUGGGUAUGUGUGGGACCAUGUAAAAAAAAUCCAGAAUUCUGCAAUCAACGAGGUGAAUGCCUAAAUGAAAUAAAUGGACCACAGUGCAUGUGUUACAGUACUCCCUUUGAGGAGUACUAUGGAGCUCAGUGUGAGCUUUACAAAAGAGGGGCCGGUUUCUACGCUGUUCUCUUCGGCUGUUUAGCAGCUUUUGCUGUAUUUAUCAUUGUCUUGGCUGUGAUGAUUGUGGUGCUCUACAGAGCCAAGAGAAAAUCAAGCAAAAGGAGGUUAUCACUUUUUGGUGAUGUCUUCUUUGAUUUUACAUCAAGAGGAUCCAUGGACAGAGGUUAUGGGCAUCAAAAUUUUUCAUUCUCAGAAUAUUCAG